GCGGACGUGGUGCAUGGUGCACCUUUUCUAUUCAUCAUGCAGGUCUAGAUUGAAGGAGAUGUUGGGGUUCGACUCCCCGCGUCCGCA